rnacentral:rRNA from 1 species
CCCUUAGACGUUCUGGGCCGCACGCGCGCUACACUGACACAGGCAACGAGCCUUCCUUUACCGAAAGGUAUGGGUAAUCUUUUGAAACUGUGUCGUGCUGGGGAUAGAUCCUUGCAAUUUUUGAUCUUAAACGAGGAAUUCCUAGUAAGCGCGAGUCAUCAACUCGCGUUGAUUACGUCCCUGCCCUUUGUACACACCGCCCGUCGCUACUACCGAUUGAAUGGCUUAGUGAGGCCUCAGGAUCCGCGCUUAAUGUGUGGAGAAUUUGGACAAACUACGUCAUUUAGAGGAAGUAAAAGUCGUAACA